rfam:Otolemur garnettii contig067072, whole genome shotgun sequence.
GUGCUUGCUUUGGCAGCACAUAUACUAAAAUUGGAACGAUACAGAGAAGAUUAGUAUGGCCCCUGUGCAAGGAUGAAAUACACAAUUAUUGUUAACUAUAGUGUUAUU